rnacentral:rRNA from 1 species
UUGGAAGUAAAAGUCGUAACAAGGUC